rnacentral:misc_RNA from 1 species
UCCAGCUCUACGCACACCUGGA